AAAGGCAGUGAGCGUCUUUCCUUGGGCUGCGUGUGCCGAGCGUAGACAAUGAAAAUCUUCAUCCCCCUCCCCCAUUCUACUAGGCUACAAGAUUCUUGUUUUCGUUCCUUCUCACCGGUGGAAGAUGUGUAAAAUCAAAGAUGUAGAGGUGUGUAGUGAUUUUUUUAAAAGCCAACUAACCACCGCACGGACUGCGACGCGGAUUACCCGAGCGCACGCCGGCUGGGCGCAUUCUGGGGUCUCUGCGCAAGACCAGCUCUCAGCUCUCUCUCCUUUCCUCGGACUCUGGAGCGGGAGCGGGCCUUUCCCUCGGGUCGACCACGCCGUAGGGGACGCCGUGAAAAGAGCCGUCGCGCCCGCUGCCUCCUGCCCGCUGCGCAGAGGGCUCCGCCCGUAGAGGUCAACUUCCCUCACCCUUUUCUCUCUCCUGCUUGCCCUCCCUCCGCCCGGCCCAGGCGCUUCCAGCCCCAGACUGUGGCCACUGGCUGAGGAGUGCGAGUCGGCUGCGCUGCCCUGAGCCUAAUCCCUCUUCCGGGCCCAGACCCGAGGUCCGCGCUCCUGGGCAGUGGGGAAGCUUUAGUGAGCAGGCUUUUCUCUCCGCAGCAAACUUGUAGCCAGACCAGAUGGGCCGCCCAGCUCUCUCGGGACUAGGCAGGUGCGGAUGAGUUAAUUUUUCCGCAUUACAAAGAAAGAUGACCCAGCCCGCCCUUGGACUCUCUUUUCCCAAAAUCUCCCAACCAAACCCGCGGUAACGUUAUCAAAGGACACAGAGCCCAGGCAUAUCUGUGUGUUUAUCUUACAGGCACACACGCAUGGUUUUCUCUUUUAUAUGCUAGAUUUCAUCCCUGACAGCAGAAAAUGAUUGGCAAUGGUUAUGACGGAGAACAUGCAAUAGCGUGGUCCUUAAAAACCUGCCAUUCCUUACAAGUGCCUUAGAAAGGAUUCAGGGCGAACCAACUGGGUUAAUUGCAUUCAGUAAAAUAACACGAUUACAAAA
rnacentral:lncRNA from 1 species